CCUCUUUACCAAACUCUCUCUCUCUCUCUCUCUUCGAAUCUUUAGAAGAUUUCUCAAAAAUAUCUCCUAACGACACACACUCUCACCCUCUCUCUCUCUCUCUCUCUCUGACUUUUGAUCAAAACAAAAAACUGAAGCAGUUGUAAUGAAUUGAAAAUGAAACCCUAGAGAUGUGAAGAUGGGCGAAGAGGUGAGGAUGAGUGAUUACGAUGGCGGCGGUGGCAGAGACGACAACCGAGUCUCAGAGUGGGAGGUAGGGCUACCGACCGGCGACGAUCUGACACCGUUAUCUCAUCCGUUGAUCCCGCCGGAGCUAGCGUCGGCGUUCAGCAUAUCGCCUGAAUCCUCCCGGAACGCGAUGGAUGUGAAUUUGGCGUCGCAGAACACGCUCGGGCAGUUACAAGCCAUUUCUUCGUCGAAUAAUUUCAAUUUGAAGUCGCUUAAUCAGGUGAGGACUAUGGAAUUGGAAGAAGACGAGGCGGAUCUGAUGAAGGAGGGGUCGGAAUCGAGGAAGCUGAGGAGGAUUGAUAGCGGCGGAGCUGAGGAGGAGGAGGAAAACGGAAACGAUGAUCUGUCGGCGGCGAAGAUGGCGGUGAAGAGGCCGCGGCUGGUGUGGACGGCGCUGCUGCACAAGAGGUUUGUUGACGUUGUUGCGCAUUUAGGUAUAAAAAAUGCUGUGCCGAAGACGAUCAUGCUGUUGAUGAAUGUGGAGGGAUUGACUCGCGAGAAUGUGGCCAGUCAUCUUCAGAAGUAUCGAUUGUAUUUGAAGAGGAUGCAAGGGUUGUCGAACGAAGGUCCUUCGUCGUCCGAUCAUCUGUUCGCGUCUACGCCUGUGCCGCAGAGCCUACAGGAGACCGGAGGAGGGGGGAGUUUACAUGGGAAUGGGCGGCAUGUACAGAUGCCGAUUCCAAUGCCUUACCCGCAGCAGAUGAUGCAUACGCAGAUGAUGCAUAUGCCGAGUCCUUAUCAAGGAUUUGAGUCGCAUCCGUACAAUGUGGUGCAGCAGAGAGAUUGGUAUCAGCAUGUUACGCCCAAUGAUAAAUAACGAAAAGAUUCAAAGGAUUGAGAAACUUGGUACAAGCUUAAUUUGGGGAACUCAACUUCUAUUGUUGCUUAAUUGGUAAAAUCCUGGACCUGCCAGACACGAGCAGAGUUGGGAAAUAUUGGAGAUAAUCUGACUUAUCCAGUAUCAUUUGGCAUUAAUAUAUAAAUCAGGCAAAGGCACAAGCACAAGCUGGUGUACUAUUAUGGGUCUUUGCAAGGACAGCAAGUCAUAACAGUAAAGCAAAAGUCAUAUGAAAUCUAAGCAAAAGUUGCAGCAGUUCUUGCCUGCUCUUGGUAUUUUUGAUGCCUUCGAUUCCCUUUCCACAGAUUUUCCUUCGUAAAAAGAUUCUAUUCCCCAUGUUUCCAGAAGCUUGAAAUCAAUUCAUUUUGUAAUUAUUUGUUGCAUUUACUUCUUUUAGCCCCGUAAGUUAGCUCGUUUAUAUGAAUAUGGAUCUCUAUUCAUGAUAUUAUUGAGAAAUUUUGGGAAAGAAUUUAGAACUUUUUUGUAAAGGCUACAUUCCAAUCUGUUGAGCCUCUUUCUUUUGGACUGUUCAUUGUUUUUCCUUAGCAUUGUAUAUUUUUUCCUGAACAGAGAUCUUUAUAGUAGUGCUUCCCUAGAAAUUUAUCAAGGCUAUAUGAAUUGAGAAUGAUAAAAACCUUGUGCAUUGGAUUGCCUUUUAUAUU